rnacentral:rRNA from 1 species
UACGUAGGGGGCAAGCGUUGUCCGGAUUUAUUGGGCGUAAAGCGCUCGCAGGUGGUUCAUUGCGUCGUGCGUGAAAGACCCCGGCUCAACUGGGGAGGGUCGUGCGAAACGGGUGAACUAGAGGCCAGUAGGGGGAUGCGGAAUUCCGGGUGUAGUGGUGGAAUGCGUAGAGAUCCGGAGGAACACCAGCGGCGAAGGCGGCAUCCUGGACCGACACUGACGCUGAGGCGCGAAAGCUAGGGGAGCAAACGGG